AUGGCCACAAAACAGCCCCUGUUUCUAUUUUCAGACUGUGCUCUUCUGGCUCAAGAAGGCCAACACUGCACCCGUAGGGCAAAGGAGUCAUCCAUUGCCAAAACCUGCAGAGCAGUGGGAAGGGGAAAGGUUUUCCUGGUGGCAUUUUUCGGCAGAGAGAAUACGUUAUCUUGCCUGCUUCUUGGGAACCGUGGAUCCUUCAUCAGUGACCUGGAAUGGUUGCUAAGUGUGAAGCAGAGAGCAGUUCUGACAGCCUUCUUUAAGCACAGGAUAUCCAUUGCUCUCAUGCGAAAAAGAAGCCUCCCAGAAAAGACUGCAUUGGGCAUUGACAGCUCUUUCACACGUUGUACUGUUAUUUCUGAAACCCGAUCACGAGUUGUACUAUCUAGGUAAUACAUGCCUUUUGGACAUUUCUUAGUAAAGAUGCCCAAAUGAGAGACCCUACUGAUGAAAGCACUUCCUUCAGGGACCUUCAAUAGCUCGAUAUAUAUUUAGGGAAAUACAAAAGGAGAGGAGCGUGUAUUUUUGGGAUUGGGAAAAUACACAUUUUCCAUUGGACUAAACUGUCAACUCAUCAAUAUUUUAGAAUGGGUCAUGACCUGCAUAAAAGAAAAAAAAAAACAAACCUGUUUUGACUUUCUUGGCAGCCCCAAUCCUAAUUUGGUGGAAGUGGCUUUGUGCCUGGAUUUGAAAGCCACAGUCCCAGCCUUCUAUGCACUCAGCAAUGGCCGUAGAGCACACAUCUGGCCAAUGGUAUCUAAGAGGAAGUUACUUAAAGCUACUUAAAAUAGGACAGAAGCAGCUGAAGGGCACACGUUUUGUUCUCAUGCAUUUUCCUCUAGUAGCUGGAAUCAACUAGUAAUUUUGCAGUAGGAAAAAAUGAAAAGAUUCAUAGAUCCGGCAAUAAAGGUUUUAACAUGAGCCAUCCUUCCCUCAUCCUCCACAUUAACCCUCCAAUUUGCAGUUCCCUGAUUUGCGCAGCCAAAUGGAAUACCUAACGGAAAUAGAAUAUGGUAUCAGAACUGGCAGGGGGUGUAGCGAGGAAAGGAUGCUUCAAGUAAUAGAACCAAAAAUGUUUAAUUUGCUUAAUGGAAGGGGUGGGAAAGUGAGGGCAGUAUUGCAGGAGGUAAAGCUGGUUCAUCCAUAUGCAACAGGGCAAAACAGUUUUUCAGACUCUAGAAACACUGUCUACUGACUCCUAAGUAAUAGAGAAUGUUGGCAUGCGUUGGACCCUUCUUAUUGCUUUUAGCAAAGCCUUAAGGGAGCAAUGAACUGAUUCAGAGACACACAGUCUACAAACAUGUGGAAGAAAAUACAGCACUGAUAAGAGGAGUGCUUCUUCCAAGACCAUCAAUCUAAGUUGACUGAGAAUCUCAAAAAUUGGAGCCAUUCGAUAGUUAAGAUAUAUGUUUGCUACUGGAAAAGAAACUCAAAAUACAAUGUGAAAGAAAAACAGAAGCUCAGUUCUCUCUCCUGUAACAGUCUUGAGUAUAAGCAGAAAAGCUGUAAAGUGUGUGGCUCCAUGCUGCCUUUCUAUCUUACUGCUCCCGAAUCUCCUUGUUGCAGUAAUCCAAGAUUACUCUCCACUAUUCAGGCAUUUCAGGAGGCAGGAAGGGGAAAAGAGGGAAAGAGAGGGCAUUCUCUUCCUUCUAAAGACAUACUCUGGAAGUUGCACCUGUUAUUUCUGCAUAUAACUUAUCGGAAAGAAUUUAGUUAUAUGUCCACCCCCAAGCACAAGGACUUUAAUCUGGUCUACCAUGUGCUCAGCUAAAAGCCACGGGUUCCAUGUUGCUGGAAAGGGGAAAGAACCGAUACUGCCUUUCUUGGGGUUGAACAGCUAACUUCUCCUCUCCCUCAAGCAGAAAGCAUUGUAAACUAAAGAGUGUACAUCUGUCUUCCUCUUCUUGUCUCCUUCUGAAAAUCCAGCUUUGAAAAGCAGCCUACACCAAUCUCACAUUUUUCAUAUUCCACAUUAGAAAAGUGAUGUAGCUUUAAUAAGAUAGCAAUACUUUAUAUUUUGUUCUUCCAUCAGGCCAAAGGGUUAUGAUGUUAGAAUGUUCUUUGGCAAUUCCAAAUAGGAAAAACAAAAUCUCAAAAAACUUUUGAAGAUAUCUAGUGUAGUGGAAAUGUCUCAAGAUUUAGUUCUAAUUAGCCUCUGAAAUUGUGUUCCUGCCAACUCUGUUACAUUGACUAAGUUCAGAUCAGGCAUCCUGGGACAUUUCAUUCCGUUUUGAACGAGGCGCAUUGCUAAUUCUCUAAUCAAUGAACGGACACUCCAUUUGUCAAACAGCAUAAUUGCCAUUAAAUGAAUAUAAUUCAUAGCUAAUUGUUAAAAAGAAGUAAUUUGCUGUGACUUGAACAGAUUUUAAUUGUAUUCCUUGACUUAUGGGAACAUCUUAUUAAAUAGUGGAAAAAUCUUUUUAAAAAUCUGUAUUUUGGAGCAAAGGUGGUGAUAUCUUUUUAAGAUCACACAUGGGAUGAAUUAAUCGAUUCAAACAUUAUGUGAACAAAUAUGCUGCUACAAGAAUGUUCAUUGAAGCAUUAUUUAAAAUACCAAAAAAAUUUCAAGCAACAUGCAUAUCCAUCUACAGAGGCAUAGUUACAGAAAAUACAGUUUAUCUAUGCUAAAAACCAAAAAAACUUAUUCAACGCUUAAAAUAAGGAGACAGAUCCAAGUGGAAAGAUAUCCAACACACAACAUUAAGAUUUAAAAAACUAUAAAGCGAUAUGUAUGGUUCAAGUACAUUAGCUGACAGAGCAAAUCAGAAAGCAGUUACAUACAUAUAACUGUAUAUGCAUGGAGGUUUCUGGAAGCAUAUGCAUGUAUUAAUAUUACAACUAAAUAGUGGACUAGUUGUCCUGGUAUGAGAAAUGGCAGAUUCUUAGUUUUUACUUUAUAAACCUUCUGUAUUUGUUGAACUUUUAACUUUAAAUUUGCAUUCGUUUUGCAUUUUAAAAAGUUAUUAAAACCUAUAAAAAUAAUUCUGUUCCAUCGCUUACUAUCCUUAAACAGUCCAUGGAAUAUAUAGCAUAAGGCAUUACUGAAUGAGCGUCUGAAUUGAAUUCUGCUUCCUUUUGCUUUAUAUUGAUUAAGAGCGUGCUUCAUGACAAUUUCCUUGAUUAUUUUUCUUUUUUUGGUCUUUUCAGGGCCACACCCGCGGCAUAUGGAGGUUCCCAGGCUAGGCGUCGAAUCAGAGCUAUGAUUCAAAUCAGCCUACACCACAGCCACAGGAAUGCUGGCUCUUUAACCUAUUGAGCGAGGAGGCAAGGGAUUGAACCUACGUCCUCAUGGAUGCUAGUCAGAUGUUUCCUCUGAGCCAUGAUGGGAACUCCCUGUAUUUGUUUGAUAACAUAAAAUCUGAUACUGAUUUUUUUCAUUUGUACUCUUGCCCUAGAAGCAAAGCUACCAUAAAGGAACACUAGAAGAUCUUUCAGGAAUUUACUGAUUUAUUUGUUUGUUUAUUUUUUGUCUUUUGAGAGCCAAGGCAUAUGGAGGUUCCCAGGCUAGGGACUGAAUCGGAGCUGUAGCCACUGGCCUAUGCCACAGCCACAGCAACUCUAGAUCAAAGCCAUGUCUGUUAUCUAUAUCACAGCUCAUGGCAAUGCCGGAUUCUCAACCUACUGAGUGAGGCCAGGGAUCCAACCUGUGUCCUUAUGGAUACUAGUCAGAUUCGUUUCCACUCAGCCACGAUGGGAACUCCCCUCAAUGUAUUUAAUACCUUGCAAAUUAUUUUCCUUUUUCCUAGAUUUUACUUUCAUAAAGGGUUUCAAGUUUAGUGAAGUUUGUCAUACUCAGCAGUUUUGGAAUUCACUGGAGAAAGAUGAGAUAUGCUCCUUCUCUCAAACCCAGUCUUAUCCUAUUCUUCAUGAUGAUGCAGCCCUGUCCAUGACCUACCUAGGAAGACAUCAUCAGUAAUCUCUUAUGUUACCUGCAAGGUGAAGAACAGAUGAAGGGAUCUGAUACUUAUUUUGGCAACUCAGAAAUAUGUUUUAAAACUUUCUCCAUUUAUCACAUGAAAAGUGCUCAAUCAACCAGACCUCAAAUCUCAAGCAAUACGUAGUAAGUACCUUUCUGCUCAUUUUAAGAGAGAGAGAAUACAUCCCUCAGGCUGCAGCAGCCUGAAUUUGAAUUUGAAUGUUGUAUAAAAUCAAUAAAAGGACCCAACUGUUCUAGGCUCUGUAUGCCUCAGAGGGUCUAGGUCACAGAAGAGAAAUGUUUAUUUCUCAGGAGCACACAUAAUAACCAUACUUCUCAUUAUGGUAAAACAAAACAAAACAAAACACAC
rnacentral:lncRNA from 1 species